ACACAAGCAAAAAAUUUAGAAAUAAAAAAAUUUAAUUAAAUUGCACUAUACACUCGAUCUUGCAAAGAUAGAUAGAUUUAGACAUAAAAGAAAUCAUAAUUUAUGAAAGGGGACACGAUUAAUCUGGGGCAAAGGCCAACCGUUGGCUUGCACAACGCCUCUACCUUGCAACUGUUCACAUCCUCCCUUGCAGGCAAUCCUGCAUUCAGAAAGUUUUGCGUUCUUUAGAGUCAUGCACAUUGGCAUGCAAUCAAUAUGACACUUGAUGAAUGACCAUCUUCCUCCUUUGGCAGCCCCUCUCACCAUAUGGGUAGAGAUAAUUAACAUGAUGAUGAUGAUGGAACAUAAGCGAUCUUCUCUUGAGUUGAACAUGACAUGAGCUCUCCCAAAAACUUUUUAUGAUCAAAACAUCAUCACUUCGCAUGUUGAGUGGUUGAAGCCUAUGAUUAAUUUGAGAGGCGUGGAGAGAAAUAAGGAGAGCGCUUUCAAAUG
rnacentral:lncRNA from 1 species